UACGUAGGUGGCAGGCGUUGUCCGGAAUUAUUGGGCGUAAAGCGCGCGCAGGCGGUCCUUUAAGUCUGAUGUGAAAGCCCACGGCUCAACCGUGGAGGGUCAUUGGAAACUGGGGGACUUGAGUACAGAAGAGGAAAGCGGAAUUCCACGUGUAGCGGUGAAAUGCGUAGAGAUGUGGAGGAACACCAGUGGCGAAGGCGGCUUUCUGGUCUGUAACUGACGCUGAGGCGCGAAAGCGUGGGGAGCAAACAGG
rnacentral:rRNA from 1 species